AACUAGAUUGGCCUUGCCUUCUCUUCCCGGUUCUUCCUGGAGUUGGGAAAAGCUGGGUUGAGGGGGCAUUUAAAAAAUAAUA
rnacentral:pre_miRNA from 8 species